UCUUUAGCCCAAAGGGCUAAAAAGGACGAGUAAGGAUUCUGUCCGCGAACACGGUCUGCAUAUAGCUAUCUGAGCCGGACUAGUCAAUGGCUCACAGGAUAUACAAAUCAAUAUAUUCAGCGCAGAUUUCUCCUUUAGAAUACUCUACAUAUCACAUGCUUCUAAACUCCGGAUGUGUAACACGAACUACGGAAACUGGGGGACAAACUGGGUGCCUAUGGCCCCAUCUUUCGUCUAGAUAGCUAAAAUGACCGAAUUCCAGAUUGAGAAUGCGAAAAACACUGCAGAGAGCUGGUCUUUCGACUUUAUAUGACUCAUAGGCUUAAAAGUUCAAAUUUUGAGUGUAGGCCACAGAAAAUAAUCUAAGAUGGCUGGGCUAUCGGCCCCAUUCCAUCGGCCACAGUCCUCUAGAGUCACAAAUCA
rnacentral:lncRNA from 1 species